UACGUAGGUGGCAAGCGUUGUCCGGAAUUAUUGGGCGUAAAGCGCGCGCAGGCGGUCCUUUAAGUCUGAUGUGAAAGCCCACGGCUCAACCGUGGAGGGUCAUUGGAAACUGGGGCACUUGAGUACAGAAGAGAAGAGUGGAAUUCCACGUGUAGCGGUGAAAUGCGUAGAGAUGUGGAGGAACACCAGUGGCGAAGGCGACUCUUUGGUCUGUAACUGACGCUGAGGCGCGAAAGCGUGGGGAGCAAACAGG
rnacentral:rRNA from 1 species